AGUGAACGCUGGCGGUAGGCCUAACACAUGCAAGUCGAACGGCAGCACAGUAAGAGCUUGCUCUUACGGGUGGCGAGUGGCGGACGGGUGAGGUAUACAUCGGAAUCUACUUUUUCGUGGGGGAUAACGUAGGGAAACUUACGCUAAUACCGCAUACGACCUACGGGUGAAAGCAGGGGAUCUUCGGACCUUGCGCGAUUGAAUGAGCCGAUGUCGGAUUAGCUAGUUGGCGGGGUAAAGGCCCACCAAGGCGACGAUCCGUAGCUGGUCUGAGAGGAUGGUCAGCCACACUGGAACUGAGACACGGUCCAGACUCCUACGGGAGGCAGCAGUGGGGAAUAUUGGACAAUGGGCGCAAGCCUGAUCCAGCCAUACCGCGUGGGUGAAGAAGGCCUUCGGGUUGUAAAGCCCUUUUGUUGGGAAAGAAAAGCAGCAGGUUAAUACCCCGCUGUUCUGACGGUACCCAAAGAAUAAGCACCGGCUAACUUCGUG
rnacentral:rRNA from 1 species